UCUCAUCCUAUCUUCUCUUCCUCUCAGUCGAUAAAACUAGAUCGAGUUUGAUGAAUCAGUUUCGAUUCAGUUUCUUCAUCAUCUAUCAUAGGAUUUUUAGGGAUUUAUAAAUCGAUUUUAGGGUUUCAGUCUGUAUUAUGAUUCGAUUUUAGUUUGUUCGUCGGAGUUCGCACUUGGAAGAACUGGUCUUCACUCUCAGCUAAUCGUGAGAAAACAUCUGUUCUACUUUGUUUAAUUUAGAUGCAGAUGGGAAUGAAGUUGAUAAGUUAACUGAGAAGCUACAAGGGGUUGGGAUUGGCUCUGGAUUGCUUCUGGUAGUGCUGAUGCUGCUGUUCUAACUACUUCUAAGUUCAUGUUAAGAAGUAGAGGGAGUGGUCAAUUUUGUGUGGAUGAUGCAUUUGGAAGGGGCUUGAUUGAGUGAUACUGAGAUUAGCAGAAGGAGAAGUUUGCUGGGAAGGCUUAAUGUCGUAUAAGCAAUUUAUUCAAGAUCUUGAAGAUGACAUACUGCCGGCUGAAGCUGAGCGCAGGUAUCAGGAAUACAUAUCAGAGUACAUUUCUACUCAGAAACGUACUUUCUUUGAUACACACAAGGAUGACGAGUGGCUGAAAGACAAAUAUCACCCAACAAAUUUAGUAUCAGUUAUUGAAAGGGAGUGGGAGUAUUCUUCAAGUACCCUUGAUAGCUGGUGCUCUCCAUGUUCGUGCAUUAUUCCAAGAUGCUAAGAAAAAGUUCCCGAUAGUGGGUCAUCGAAUUACAACAUCAAUGGAGUGAAGCAUAACACUAAUCUGACGUGUGGGAUAAAUCUGGGAUCGAUGGUGACACUGAGAAUAUCAGCUCGUUUGGUGGGAAACCUUUUAUCAAGAAAGGAUUUGAGUAUCCUUCGGCAUGGAAGUCCCCUUGGCUUAUGAAUAUCUAUGAACUGACUGGCAUCUCUGAUUGUUGCUUUUCAAUGUUGUAAGUUUUUUAAGUUACAAUGUAGGAAGUUUCUAUGAACUCAGCAAGUUUUUUAACUUAAAAUUUGAUACUUACAAGAAUUUUGGUACUUAGAAGAAUUUAUGUUAUUCUUUGAUUGAAAGCUAUAAAAAUUGACUGAAUGUGACUGUGAUAUGAAUGUGAUGUGAUUGUGAUGGAAUGAAAUGGGUAGGCAGGUUGUUGGA